ACAUGAGCGGCCAUGAGCUGCAACAGGAAAGUGCUCAUUGCUUGUAAUGCUUGCUGUCGUGCUUUAGUUUGUGUGUCACACAGGGAUGUGCUGACAGAUGUAUCUAGGGUGUACAAACACACACACACACACACACACACAUACACACAAA